rnacentral:tRNA from 1 species
GGGGUUGUGGCUCAGUGAUAGAGAACUUGCCUAGCAUGUAGGAGGCAUUGGGUUCAAUCCUCAGCCACA